UACGUAGGUGGCAAGCGUUGUCCGGAAUUAUUGGGCGCAAAGCGCACGUAGGCGGCUUUUUAAGUCAGAGGUGAAAUCCUGGAGCUCAACUCCAGAACUGCCUUUGAUACUGGAGAGCUUGAGUCCGGGAGAGGUGAGUGGAACUGCGAGUGUAGAGGUGAAAUUCGUAGAUAUUCGCAAGAACACCAGUGGCGAAGGCGGCUCACUGGCCCGGUACUGACGCUGAGGUGCGAAAGCGUGGGGAGCAAACAGG
rnacentral:rRNA from 1 species